CAAUUUUCCAGAUUAACUGAAGCACUCAGAUCGAGCUGGUACAUGGAUUCUUACGUAUUAACCCUCUGAAGGGGACAAAAGUUAUAAAACUAUUUUCCAAUUUACAUGUCAUCAUGCAGAGCAACUAGUCAAUACUAUCAAAUGAUCACAGGAAACAUAAUAUUUCUUUAACAAAAAUCAUAAAUUCGGAUGAGUGGAUUCUAUUUCUUCCCCGCCACUUAGAAAAUAAAGUAAACAAACCAUGUAAAAAAGGUGCUCAGGAAGCAUGAAAGAAUUCAGAGAAAUAGAGUUCAAAGAGACUGACAUUAGAAAAUAGCCAAUAAGUGCUGAGUACCUGGUUUACAAAGCCCUCCAGUG
rnacentral:misc_RNA from 1 species